rnacentral:misc_RNA from 1 species
GUUGCAAACUUUAUUCAGUAUAAUCAACGAGCAAUCCAUCUCUCUUCUUCAUUAUCAUCAAUUCCAAUACAUUUGAUUGAUAAUGGCAGAUAAGCCUAGCAGAGCACUGGUAUUGUACGGUGACGGGUUAGCCCGAUCCAUUGACCCGUCUCAUACCCACCUCCAUUCUUUUACUUCUCGAGCUUGCUGUGGCUUUUUGUCUCUUCCUAACUCUCCUCCUUCAGAAACCGAAGAUGCAAGAAUUGUCAGAGAAUUUGCUGAGCUAGUGGAUGCAAG